GUAUCCUAGGGUUCCUUUCACACACAGGCUGGUUUUUCUCUUCUCUUGGGGACUCAGGAAAAAUGUGGAAAAGCGAGCUCUGCUGGAGAACAUGGAAGGGCUCUUCUUGGCUGUGGAUGAGAUCGUAGAUGGAGGGGUGAUCCUAGAGAGUGAUCCCCAGCAAGUGGUACACCGAGUGGCAUUAAGGGGUGAAGAUGUUCCCCUUACGGAGCAGACUGUGUCUCAGGUGCUGCAGUCAGCCAAAGAACAGAUCAAGUGGUCACUCCUUCGGUGAAGACCCUCCCAUUCUUGGCUCCUCAUCCCCUCAGAAAAUCCACAUGUCUGCUGUGUCUUCUCAUCCAGUCCCCCAACUGAUGCUCUCAGGGUCAUCUUGGGGAUCACAAGAGAUCCUUAAAUCUCCAUCCUGUCUGUGGUUGCCCCCACCAUCCCCCUAUACGCUUACCUGUCCUUCUCACUCUUUUUUGAAGUUCUGGGAGUAAAACUCCUGGCAGAUUUGGAUGCAGGGUGGGGGAAGCACCCUCUUCCUUUCUAGAAGCACCCUUUUCCUUUCUAGACUGGGUUAUGAUCUCAUGCUCUCCUUUCCCCCAUAUUGUCUCCUUAACGUUUGUGCCCUUUGCUGCAGCUGUACUUCAUAUCAAAGCAGGACAAAGAAUGUGCUGAGUGUUUUUCUCCCUUUGCCUUUAUCCAGGCCUUCAUCCCAACAGCCCAUAUGUCCAGCAAGGGGAGGAGAGAGAGAAUUCUUUUCUGUAGACUAGGGGUUGGGAGAGGUAUAUUCAGUCUCAGCCACAGCCCCACUUGCAGGUCUCAGCAUUUUCUCCCAUUCCUUCUUACUAUCCCAUCCUCUGGCCUUGGAAAAAAGAUUGGGAACAGCUCACAGGUAGGGGAUAAAGUGAAAGAAGCAGCAAUUUAAAUGUUACUGGAUAGGGUUUAUAAAAUUCUCUAUUUCAGUCACAACUGCAUUCUAUUCCCUGAUCUGGCUUAUAGCUUCAAAAACUGCUGUGGUCUAUGGGUGUUCAUUGUGGGAGCACCCAUCUCUUCGUCCACUACCUUAACUCUCCACCUUCACUACCUGUGGGGUCUUGGCCUGUCCUGUCCUAUUUGUGCCCUGGAGUAAAGCCAGUCUCUGAACUAAAACUCCAUUCUAGUCUAGGGAAGAAGAGUGUCUGUUCAGAACUGGGGAGGGGGUGGAAUUUAUGGCUUAGACCUCUGGGCUGUCAGUCUUCAUCGCUCCCUCAUACAUGUCACUCGUCUACCUUGGGUCUACAGUCUUGGCUACUCAACCCUGUCUUCCCUCCGUGUCAGCCUUACAUCCAUGUAGUUCUCGGCUCUUCCCCUCCCUAGGUCACUGAGAGGGUUGUCUUUCCUCAGAAGACCUUUGGGAUUUGGAUUUCCCUAGGAGGAUGGAGGAUGGAACAUGUACUCUUGGGUCUAAUCUUUCCCCUUGACCCAAAUACUUGCCACAAAAAUCUCUCAAAAAACCUUCCUGAAACUUAAGAGCUCUGCCUCACCCACUAACUGCUAGUUCUCUAAGACUGAAGUGGGGUCAAUAAUGGCAUUAUUUGAAGGGGCAUUUUUGUGUCAAGAGAUGUAUGGAGUCAGGAGAUAGCCACCUUCAUAUACUGCUCUGUGCAAAGAGGAAUAAAACAGAUUUCUUUUUCCAAA